UCUCCGUAGGUGAACCUGCGGAGGGAUCAUUACAGAGUUCAUGCCCUACCGGGUAGAUCUCCCACCCUAUGUUAUUAUUACUUUGUUGCUUUGGCGGGCCGUUAGGCUCCGGCCCGACUACCGGCCCCGGCUGGUAAGCGCCCGCCAGAGGACCCAAGGCCCUGAAUAUUAGUGUCGUCUGAGUACUAUAUAAUAGUUAAAACUUUCAACAACGGAUCUCUUGGUUCUG
rnacentral:misc_RNA from 1 species